rnacentral:lncRNA from 1 species
AAGCUUUGCACAGUGCUUUUUGUGGCAGGCUGGUAGAGGAGAGAGAUUUGUUUUCCCUUUCAGAACUAAAGCAUGUCACUGCCAAGGACACAGUCUUGAAGCCAACCGGAAUCACUCCCUCGGUCAGAUAAUCUCCAGGACAAUGGCUUAAUAUUAUAUACUCUCUGUUUUGGUCCAAUAAGACACAUAGUCAAGGGGAAUGCCCCUGCAUUCCCGUAUAAGUGAAAACUAAUAGACACAGCCCCCCCGAUGAGGGAGGCUCUCUGGGGGCCCUCUCCCCAGACACUCUCCCGUGGGACACUCUCCCGUGGGACACUCUCCCGUGGGACACCAUCCCGUAAGCGGCGAGGGCCUGGAUGUGUGGGUGCUGGCUGGAGGCGGGGACGACUGCACAGGGGACUCAGGAGAGAAGCACCAGCAGCUGCGGAGACAAGGUGCCCCCUGGCGUAGGAAGGGUGGGGGGCGACUCCCUUUGUCUCCCCCUCUACUCACCGGGUGGCUCUCUGGCCCGCGGCUUCCACAGGAAGAGGCGUGAUGAGCUUCGAACAGCAGCCUCAGGACGAGGGGUCACAAGCACAAGUGCGGACUGGGGCCAGGCAGAUAUAGAACCGUGCUGGAAAUCGUGCUUCUCUGGAGGAGUUCCUCAGUCAUCUGAGAGCUGUCUCCAGGCUGUAAACCUUGGGCUUCCCUGAUGGCUCAGCUGGUAAAGAAUCUGCCUGCAACCCAGGAGAUAAAGGAGGUGCAGGUUCAGUCCCUGGGUUGGGAAGAUCCUCUGGAGCAGGAAACGGCAACCCACUGUGGGAUUCUUACCUGAAAAGUCCCAUGGACAGAGGAGCCCGGUGAGCCACAGUCCAAAGGGUCACAAAGAGUCGGACACGACUGAGCGCAAGCACAUAGUCCUCAGUUAGCUCAAAUAAAAUGCUCCCAUUUCUACUAUAGAAUUCUUAUUUAUUGAUUUAUUAAUUAUUUUCAUCAACAAGGCCCAAAAUUCCAACCAAGAUGAAGGUUGCAGUAGUUCCCACAUUGAAGUCAGGCUACGUCGGCAGAGAAGCAGGCCAGCAGCUGGGCAACCAAGACUGCAGAUGCGUGUAGACAGGUUUUUUGGUCCCCGUCUGCCCUGUGGACACCAAGCUCCAGCAUCAGACCUAGAGGACAGCAGCCUUACAGACUCGACUUAACCAGCUUAACCAGUUCCCACAAUUGCAUGUCAAACCCUUGUAAUAAGCCCGCAGUCACUCUGCUUCUCUGGUUGAACACUAACUGAUACCCACCCCCAAAUCCUCCCAAUAGAGUGCUCUUUAGUAUAAGUUAUCUAGAGCAGCAGUCCGCAAAUGUUUUGGCACCAGGGACCAGUUUCACGGAAGACCACAGCCGGCAGGUCCAGGGGGUGGGUGGUGGGUGGUUUUGGGGUGAUUCAAACACAUUACAUUUAUUGCGCACUCUAUUUCUAUUAUUAUUACAUCAGAUCCACCUCAGAUCAUCAGGCAUCUCAGACCCCAGAGGCUGGGGACUUCUG